rnacentral:rRNA from 1 species
AUGAUUGGGCAGCCCGUCCCAUCGCCACCCAUCCCCGUACUCCCUACGCGGACACGUCGCGCGCCCGCACGCCGCCGGAGCCCACCACGUUCCGCUCAGUGGUCAGCCGGAACAAAAUCCCUACCCCGCACCACGCCACCCACCCCCGUAUCCCGCACCCCCACUGACACGCCACGCCCCACACCCUCGCCCGCACCCGAUUCCCACGAGGCCAAUCGGCGGGCGCGGCGGCCGAGAGAUCCCGAGCAGCGACAGGAGGCACGAGGCGUGGGAUCUGGCCGUGUGCGCGAGGCAAAGGUCAGUGGGAGCGCAGGCCUACUUUAUUACCCGGCGCGCACUAAUCCAGAUUUGGGGCCGUGGGUGUGUAGGUUUCGUCGCUGUGGGGCGACGUUUUAA